rnacentral:rRNA from 1 species
UGACCCCGUAACUUCGGGAGAAGGGGUGCCUGCGAGAGCAGGCCGCAGAGAAUAGGCACAAGCAACUGUUUAACAAAAACACAGGUCUCUGCUAAAGCGAAAGCUGAUGUAUAGGGGCUGACGCCUGCCCGGUGCUGGAAGGUUAAGGGGAACACUUAGCGUAAGCGAAGGUGUGAACUUAAGCCCCAGUAAACGGCGGCCGUAACUAUAACGGUCCUAAGGUAGCGAAAUUCCUUGUCAGGUAA